rnacentral:rRNA from 1 species
AACGAACGCUGGCGGCAGGCUUAACACAUGCAAGUCGAGCGCCCGCAAGGGGAGCGGCAGACGGGUGAGUAAAGCGUGGGAAUCUACCCAUCUCUACGGAAUAACGCAUGGAAACGUGUGCUAAUACCGUAUACGUCCUUCGGGAGAAAGAUUUAUCGGAGAUGGAUGAGCCCGCGUUGGAUUAGCUAGUUGGUGGGGUAAAGGCCUACCAAGGCGACGAUCCAUAGCUGGUCUGAGAGGAUGAUCAGCCACACUGGGACUGAGACACGGCCCAGACUCCUACGGGAGGCAGCAGUGGGGAAUAUUGGACAAUGGGCGCAAGCCUGAUCCAGCCAUGCCGCGUGAGUGAUGAAGGCCCUAGGGUUGUAAAGCUCUUUCACCGGUGAAGAUAAUGACGGUAACCGGAGAAGAAGCCCCGGCUGACUUCGUGCCAGCCGCCGCCGUAACAC